rnacentral:rRNA from 1 species
AGUAUGGGUCGCAGAGACGUGGCCCUUCAGUUCGGCUGGCUCCCACACAGGUGCUGCAUGGCUGUCGUCAGCUCGUGUCGUGAGAUGUUGGGUUAAGUCCCGCAACGAGCGCAACCCUCAUCUUCAGUUGCCAUCGGUACGGCCGGGCACUCUGAAGAAACUGCCGGUGACAAGCCGGAGGAAGGCGGGGAUGACGUCAAGUCCUCAUGGCCCUUACGGGCUGGGCUACACACGUGCUACAAUGGCGGUGACAAUGGGAUGCAAUGGGGCGACCCCGAGCGAAUCCCAAAAAGCCGUCUCAGUUCGGACUGCACUCUGCAACUCGAGUGCAUGAAGCUGGAAUCGCUAGUAAUCGUGGAUCAGCACGCCACGGUGAAUACGUUCCCGGGCCUUGUACACACCGCCCGUCACACCAUGGGAGUUGGUUUUACCCGAAGCCGGUGCGCUAACCGCAAGGAGGCAGCCGACCACGGUAGGGUCAGCGACUGGGGUGAAGUCGUAACAAGGUAAGCGUAGAUGA